UAAAAAGUGAUAUUCAGAUUCGACAACGUUGAAGUUACAAUUAUAGUGACCCGCAUUUUAAACUGAUUCGGACCGUAUCUGAAUAACUUAGGCCAGGGUUUACAAUUUCCUUUUUAUAAGUGUAUUUGACUUAUUUCACGCAUUUUGCACACGGGUUUAAUAAAAUACAUCCGACAAGUUAAAUGUGAAUAAAAGGUACAUAUAAUCGUUUGAGACACGGAAUCUGUUGGAUCUACUUUCUAUUGUUACAACUGUGACCGAGAAGACGUUGAAGGAAAAUGUUUGCGAAGCUUUAUACCUUUGCGAUGGUUUUCAUCCUGCUGGUAA
rnacentral:lncRNA from 1 species